rnacentral:rRNA from 1 species
AACGAACGCUGGCGGCGUGCCUAACACAUGCAAGUCGCACGAGAAUUGGGUAGCAAGAUCCAUAGUAAAGUGGCGAACGGGUGAGUAAUACCUAGGUAACCUACCUUAAGGCGGGGGACAACAUUCCGAAAGGAGUGCUAAUACCCCGUAAGACCACGGGCUUUGCGAAGCCGGGGGUAAAAGGUGGCCUCUAUUUAUAAGCUAUCGCCUUUAGUGGGGCCUGGGCACCAUUAGCUAGUUGGCAGGGUAAUGGCCUACAAAGGCUUGGAUGGUUAGCUGGUCUGAGAGGAUGACCAGCCACACUGGAACUGAAACACGGUCCAGACUCCUACGGGAGGCAGCAGUGGGGAAUAUUGCGCAAUGGGGGAAACCUUGACGCAGCAACGCCGCGUGAGUGAUGAAGGCCUUCGGGUCGUAAAGCUCUGUCAGGCGGAGAGAAACGUGCAUGGCCAACAUCCAUGCACCUGACGGUACCGCCAAAGGAAGCACCGGCUAACUCUGUGCCAGCAGCCGCAGUAAUAC